rnacentral:miRNA from 4 species
AGUUAAUGAAUCCUGGAAAGU